CCUACGGGUGGCAGCAGUGAGGGAUAUUGCUCAAUGGGGGAAACCCUGAUGCAGCGACGCCGCGUGGGCGAAGAAGUAUUUAGGUAUUUAAAGCUCUAUCAGUCGGGAAGAAGAAAUGACGGUACCUGAGUAAGAAGCACCGGCUAAUGACGUGCCAGCAGCCGCGGUAAUACGUAGGGUGCAAGUGUUAUCCGGAUUUACUGGGUGUACAGGGAGCGUAGGCGGCACGGGAAGCCUGAAGUGAAAGCCUGCGGCCCAACAGCGGGACUGCAUUGGGAACUAGCGGGCUAGAGUGCCGGAGAGGUAGGCGGAAUUCGUAGUGUAGCGGUGAAAUGCGUAGAUAUUAGGAAGAACUCCAGUUGCGAAGGCAGCCUACUGGACGGUGACUGACGCUGAGGCUCGAAAGCGUGGGGAGCAAACAGGAUUAGAUACCCCUGUAGUC
rnacentral:rRNA from 1 species